rnacentral:rRNA from 1 species
AUUGAACGCUGGCGGCAGGCCUAACACAUGCAAGUCGAGCGGAUGACGGGAGCUUGCUCCUUGAUUCAGCGGCGGACGGGUGAGUAAUGCCUAGGAAUCUGCCUGGUAGUGGGGGACAACGUUUCGAAAGGAACGCUAAUACCGCAUACGUCCUACGGGAGAAAGCAGGGGACCUUCGGGCCUUGCGCUAUCAGAUGAGCCUAGGUCGGAUUAGCUAGUUGGUGGGGUAAUGGCUCACCAAGGCGACGAUCCGUAACUGGUCUGAGAGGAUGAUCAGUCACACUGGAACUGAGACACGGUCCAGACUCCUACGGGAGGCAGCAGUGGGGAAUAUUGGACAAUGGGCGAAAGCCUGAUCCAGCCAUGCCGCGUGUGUGAAGAAGGUCUUCGGAUUGUAAAGCACUUUAAGUUGGGAGGAAGGGCAGUAAGUUAAUACCUUGCUGUCUUGACGUUACCGACAGAAUAAGCACCGGCUAACUCUGUGCCAGCAGCCGCAGUAACAC